AAGCGGUGGAUGAUGUGGAUUAAUUCGAUGCAACGCGAAGAACCUUUACCUACCCUUGACAUGUCCGGAACUUGCCAGAGAUGGCUUGGUGCCCGAAAGGGAAUCGGAACACAGGUGCUGCAUGGCUGUCGUCAGCUCGUGUCGUGAGAUGUUGGGUUAAGUCCCGCAACGAGCGCAACCCUUAUCAUUAGUUGCUACGCAAGGGCACUCUAAUGAGACUGCCGGUGACAAACCGGAGGAAGGUGGGGAUGACGUCAAGUCCUCAUGGCCCUUAUGGGUAGGGCUUCACACGUCAUACAAUGGUCGGUACAGAGGGUUGCCAAGCCGCGAGGCGGAGCCAAUCCCACAAAGCCGAUCGUAGUCCGGAUUGUUCUCUGCAACUCGAGAGCAUGAAGUCGGAAUCGCUAGUAAUCGCAGGUCAGCAUGCUGCGGUGAAUACGUUCCCGGGUCUU
rnacentral:rRNA from 1 species